rnacentral:tRNA from 1 species
GGUAUAGCUCAGUUGGUUAGAGUGCCAGAUUGUGACUCUGGAGGUCGUGGGUUCAACUCCCACUAC